ACAGAGGGAUCCGCCCCUUUCCUGGCUGCCUACACAGAAAGCAGCCAUGGGAGACUUGCCGAGGACUUUGUCCACCAAGUGAUGAAAGCAUGCAAAUGCCUCCGAAUCAAAGAUGAGGAAAACAAAAGCUCAGAAACUAUCUUGGAGUCAGCAAGUAAGAAGGAGCUUAGAAAGGCUUAACAUUUUCCAUGCUUCUGCCUGGCUUCAGAGCCCAUGCACUCUGCCUUACCACGGCAGGUGAAAGAUGGCCCCAAAUUCUUAGGUACAUCUCCUGCCAAAAGACCCCUCCUAUGGGUUCUGUGACUACUUCAAUGAAAAGAAUAGGGCAGAAGAGAUGAUGAGAACUUAACAUCUGGCAGUGUCCAUUUCCUGUCUUUUGAAACUUUCUGUUAAAGGCCUGAGCCACGUAUGAAGUGUGAAUCUUCACACCAUGCAAGAGAAGCCACAUGUUAUUGCUCUGGUCAACAAUCCCAGCUGACCCAACCAGAUAGUGUAUCAGGCAUAUGAGUAAAGCAUUCUUAGAUUCUUCAGUCCAGCCCUUCACCAGCAGAACACCAUUCAGCAACCCUUGUCGGCAUCAUGUGGGACAGAAGAACCACCCAGCUGAGCCUUAUCCAAAUUCCUGACCACAAAAUCAUAAGAGAGAAUGACUUCUUUCAUAUCGCUGAAUGGAGCAACAUGUUUGGCCAAGUUCCUGUCCCAGGGAGGAGAACCUUCAGCUUGCAACAAGUCCUGGCCGUUGGAGAAACCAUGAGACUAGACCUUGUGUAAAGCAGCUGAUUCUGCCAUGGGGGAAAUGCCCUUUUGUUUACUGAGCUUCUCCCACCCAUGCCUUGCUCCACUUUCCUCUAGAAGCCUGAGAUAUUGGGAAUAAGAGUCUCAGCCUCCAAGAGAUGGAGAACAUAUCAAGAGAGUCUGGAUUUCUGGGGUGAUUAAGUUCACUUGAUUCAUUAGCCUAAGUGCUCAAGUAAAUUUCAAAUCACAGUGUUAUGUGUGAUUGUCCACGUCCUUCCUCCAAACACUCCCCACCUCCCACCCAAGGGCCCAUGUAACUUGCUAUUGAGAACCUUUGAUUUCUUAGGUAUUUGGGUGAUAGGGUUUUGUUGCCUCUCCUGAAGAAAAUAGUGGCAAUUUGUACUCAGCUGUGGAAUAAAGGAAAUCAUGACAUAAAAAAAAAAAAAAAAAAAAAAAAA
rnacentral:lncRNA from 1 species